rnacentral:rRNA from 1 species
UCUUUUUUGGGUUAUUAUUUGUGUAUAUUUCACAAUGGGGGGAACCCUGAUGCAGCGACGCCGCGUGGGUGAAGAAGCGCCUCGGCGCGUAAAGCCCUGUCAGCAGGGAAGAAAAUGACGGUACCUGAAGAAGAAGCCCCGGCUAACUACGUGCCAGCAGCCGCGGUAAUACGUAGGGGGCAAGCGUUAUCCGGAUUUACUGGGUGUAAAGGGGGCGCAGACGGCGAUGCAAGCCAGGAGUGAAAGCCCGGGGCCCAACCCCGGGACUGCUCUUGGCACUGCGUGGCUGGAGUGCAGGAGGGGCG